rnacentral:lncRNA from 11 species
CACUAAUUGAAUCACAAUAAGUCUCUCCAUUGCUGUAAGACGGCAUUCCUCAUCAUCAGUUCUAAGGGCGUUAUCCCACGUGAGAGGGAGGGAACUACUUAUCCUACUGAGC